rnacentral:rRNA from 1 species
AUGAACGCUAGCGACAGGCCUAACACAUGCAAGUCGAGGGGCAGCACAAGGAGCAAUCUGAGGUGGCGACCGGCGCACGGGUGAGUAACACGUAUGCAACCUGCCUGUAAGCGGGGAAUAACCCGUUGAAAGACGGACUAAUACCGCACUAAUACUAAAUUACUGCAUGGUAAUUUAUUUAAACAUUUAUGGCUUACAGAUGGGCAUGCGCAUGAUUAGCUAGUUGGAGAGGUAACGGCUCCCCAAGGCAACGAUCAUUAGGGGUUCUGAGAGGAAGGUCCCCCACACUGGUACUGAGACACGGACCAGACUCCUACGGGAGGCAGCAGUGAGGAAUAUUGGUCAAUGGACGAGAGUCUGAACCAGCCAAGUCGCGUGCAGGAAGAAUGUCCCUAUGGAUUGUAAACUGCUUUUGCAGGGGAAUAAAGUGCAUCACGUGUGAUGUUUUGUAUGUACUCUGCGAAUAAGGAUCGGCUAACUCCGUGCCAGCCGCUGC